rnacentral:rRNA from 1 species
GACGAACGCUGGCGGCGUGCUUAACACAUGCAAGUCGAACGGUAAGGCCCUUCGGGGUACACGAGUGGCGAACGGGUGAGUAACACGUGGGUGAUCUGCCCUGCACUUCGGGAUAAGCCUGGGAAACUGGGUCUAAUACCGGAUAGGACCACUGCCUGCAUGGGUGGUGGUGGAAAGCUUUUGCGGUGUGGGAUGGGCCCGCGGCCUAUCAGAUUGUUGGUGGGGUGAUGGCCUACCAAGGCGACGACGGGUAGCCGGCCUGAGAGGGUGACCGGCCACACUGGGACUGAGAUACGGCCCAGACUCCUACGGGAGGCAGCAGUGGGGAAUAUUGCACAAUGGGCGCAAGCCUGAUGCAGCGACGCCGCGUGAGGGAUGACGGCCUUCGGGUUGUAAACCUCUUUCAGCACCGACGAAGCGCAAGUGACGGUAGGUGAAGAAGAAGGACCGGCCAACUACGUGCCAGCAGCCGCCGUAA